rnacentral:ncRNA from 1 species
AACCUUAUCUCAAACGAUCAGAUACCGUUGUAGUCUUAACAGUAAACUAUGCCGACUAGGGAUCGGACAACCUCUUUUUGAUGUGUUGUUCGGCACCUUACGAGAAAUCAAAGUCUUUGGGU